GCCAGGCGCGGUGGCGCAUGCCUGUAGUCCCAGCUACUCGGGAGGCUGAGACAGGAGGAACGCUUGAGUCCAGGAGUUCUGGGCUGUAGUACGCUAUGCCGAUCGGGUGUCCGCACUAAGUUCGGCAUCAAUAUGGUGACCUCCCUGGAGCGGGGGACCACCAGGUUGCCUAAGGAGGGGUGAACUGGCCCAGGUCGGAAAAAUGUUUUCCUUCUUUUCUUUUUUUAUUGAGAGAUUCACUUUCUACUUUCAUAAAGUAGGAAGUAUAUUUGUUUCUGUUCAUUAUUUUGUGUUUAU
rnacentral:sRNA from 1 species